rnacentral:rRNA from 1 species
UACGUAGGGGGCUAGCGUUGUCCGGAAUCAUUGGGCGUAAAGCGCGUGUAGGCGGUCCGGUAAGUCCGCUGUGAAAGUCGGGGGCUCAACCCUCGGAUGCCGGUGGAUACUGUCGGGCUUGAGUACGGAAGAGGCGAGUGGAAUUCCUGGUGUAGCGGUGAAAUGCGCAGAUAUCAGGAAGAACACCCGUGGCGAAGGCGGCUCUCUGGGACGGUACUGACGCUGAGACGCGAAAGCGUGGGGAG